CAGCCGCCGCGGUAAUACGGAGGGAGCUAGCGUUGUUCGGAAUUACUGGGCGUAAAGCGCACGUAGGCGGCUUUGUAAGUUAGAGGUGAAAGCCCGGGGCUCAACUCCGGAACUGCCUUUAAGACUGCAUCGCUUGAAUCCAGGAGAGGUGAGUGGAAUUCCGAGUGUAGAGGUGAAAUUCGUAGAUAUUCGGAAGAACACCAGUGGCGAAGGCGGCUCACUGGACUGGUAUUGACGCUGAGGUGCGAAAGCGUGGGGAGCAAACAGG
rnacentral:rRNA from 1 species